rnacentral:rRNA from 11 species
AAAUUUGUUAGGUCCACCCUAAAGGCUCAAGAUCCCUUCUGACCUUGGAAGCAAUGCCAGGUCAGCCUUGGAAAGUACUUGGAUGGGAGACCACCAAUAAAUACCAGGUGCUGUAUGUA